UACGUAGGCAGCGAGCGUUGUUCGGAGUUACUGGGCGUAAAGAGUAUGUAGGCGGUUGCGUAAGUUUGGUGUGAAAUCUCCCGGCUUAACUGGGAGGGUGCGCCGAAAACUGCGUGGCUAGAGUGUGGGAGAGGAAAGCGGAAUUCCUGGUGUAGCGGUGAAAUGCGCAGAUAUCAGGAGGAACACCGAUGGCGAAGGCAGGUCUCUGGGCCACUACUGACGCUGAGAAGCGAAAGCAUGGGGAGCGAACAGG
rnacentral:rRNA from 1 species